GUAUUGUUUUUUGGAUUUCCUUGCGUUAGGCUUCGCUUUUCUCUGGUGCCUCGCUGAAUUCUUUUUCAGGUCUGAUUGUCCAAAAUGUGGCUCUACUGGUGAAUCUGGAAAUGCCAAUUACAGAUACAAACUUUCCUUAAAAGUUGCAGAAUCAAACAAAUUGUUUGUUAUUACUGUAUUUGGAAGUUGCUUAGAUACAUUUUUUGGUCUUACUGCCACUGGUUUGCACAGGUACAUUCAGGAUCCUAAUAAAAUUCCAGAAACACUGGACAAUGAUACAACUCAGAAUCUAUUAACUAAAGCAGUUGAAACUUGCUUUGUUGGACAAAGCUUUAUUUUUGGAGUGACGAAUUUUGAAAACCAACCUGGACAAGGUUCAGAUGCCAGUAACUUCUUACAGCAAUGCUCUGACCACAAAAGAAAAGCCAAAGCACUAGUGGCUUGCCAGAUUGUUCUACCAGACCCAGGUAUUGCAGGCUUUACUGUCAUUGACUACUUCCAUCAACUUUUGCAGACUUUUAAUUUCAGGAAACUUCAGUGUGACUCUCAGGCACCUAACAAUCACUUACUUGCU
rnacentral:sRNA from 1 species